rnacentral:rRNA from 1 species
GACGAACGCUGGCGGCGUGCUUAACACAUGCAAGUCGAACGGAAAGGCCUUUUCGGAGGUACUCGAGUGGCGAACGGGUGCGUAACACGUGGGUGAUCUGCCCUGCACUCUGGGAUAAGCCUGGGAAACUGGGUCUAAUACCGGAUAGGACCGAACUUUAGUGUGGGUGGUGGAAAGUUUUUUCGGUGUAGGAUGAGCCCGCGGGCUAUCAGCUUGUUGGUGGGGUUAUGGCCUACCAAGGCGGCGACGGGUAGCGGGACUGAGAGGUUGGUCGGCGACAUAGAGGCUGAGGGGCGGCCGAGACGCCGAAGAGUGGCAGCAGGGGGGAAGAUUGCACAAGGGGCGCCGGCCGGAUGCAGCGGGGCCGCGGGUGGGAUGACGCCCUUCGUGUGGAAGACACCUUGCGCCAGGAACCAAGCGUUUUGUGACGGUACCUAAAGAAGAAGCACCGGCUAACUACGUG